CACAACCUGACUGAGGCGGCUCUCACCACCUCCUGUGUGUGUGUGUGUGUGUGUGUGUGUGUGUGUGUGUGUGUGUGUGUGUGUGUGUGUGUGUGUGUGUGUGUGUGUGUGUGUGUGUCCGUGUGUGUUAUUGAGACACUUUGGCAUGGAAUUUGUUUUCUGUGCCUGAACUUUAAGUACAAUUUCUCACUGCCGAGCUCCAAAGAGCCAAGAGGGACUAUUACGAGAUAAUUACUAAUUAUGCUAAUGUGCUAAAGUUGUGCUAUUCCUUUUUCCUUGGUCAUUUUAUCAGCCGUCCUCGAGAGAGCACAGUCAGUAGUAAUAACCUUUUUUUUUUUUUUUUCCCUCAGCUAAACGUUCAGUCAGUUAGAGGACGCCGUGUCCUAAAACCGCCGACUCCUCCGUCGCUAGCCUUAAUCAGGAAGCGCCUGUAAAUUCACAAAGCCAUGCGUGCGCACACAGAGGAACCGCCGCGCCGUUUCCGUCGGCGCUGACCUUCAUUAACCUCAUAAAUGCCAGCGGUGGUUUCUGUCGCAGGCUCUUAAUGCGGUUAUCAGCACAAACACAAACAAAAUGUGACAGAAGUGUUUUCGGGGGGCUGAAACUAGACUUUACAUCUGUGAAAUGCAUCUCUUUCUCCCUCCUACAACACACAGGCGGUGUGACAUUGGGCUGUCUGUUGUAGGAGGGAGAGAGAGA